CACGUAGGGCGCAAGCGUUGUCCGGAAUUAUUGGGCGUAAAGAGCUCGUAGGCGGACUGUCACGUCCGCUGUGAAAAGCUAGGGCUUAACCCUGGCCUUGCAGUGGAUACGGGCAGACUAGAGGUAGGUAGGGGAGAAUGGAAUUCCCGGUGUAGCGGUGAAAUGCGCGGAUAUCGGGAGGAACACCGGUGGCGAAGGCGGUUCUCUGGGCCUUACCUGACGCUGAGGAGCGAAAGCGUGGGGAGCGAACAGGAUUAGAAACC
rnacentral:rRNA from 1 species